rnacentral:rRNA from 1 species
GACAGAGGUGCCAAGCGUUAGGCGGAAUCACUGGGCUUAAAGCGUGUGUAGGCGGAUUGGUAAGUACCUUGUGAAAUCCCACAGCUCAACUGUGGAACUGCUCGGUAUACUGCCUGUCUUGAGCCACUUAGGGGCUGUCGGAACAAACGGUGGAGCGGUGAAAUUCGUAGAUAUCGGGAGGAACACCGAUGGCGAAGGCAGCUCGCUGGGACGGUACUGACGCUGAGACGCGAAAGCGUGGGGAGCGAACAGG